GAUAGACUGAUGCAUAGAUCGCUUCUUUCAGGAUAGAUGGAUCUCUAGUCUAUAGUAUAGAGACAUUGGGCUACUAGUGCGAAUAGUUAUUAGAGAACAACUAGUACUGAGCAUGACCAUUCGAGAGAUCACUUGGAUUUCUAUUCAAUCAUUAGUGAUUGUCUUGAUGCUGUAGUUGUGUGAAUGAUCCUUUAACCUGAGAUGGUAUAACUGCUCACAAUAAGACUGCUGGAGUUUGACUGACAUAUAAACAUGGAUCUCAAUGAGCUCUUGUAG
rnacentral:lncRNA from 1 species